UUAGAGACGCAAUAGGAUUAAGAGUGUGGAUAAUAGGAAGGCUUCUCAGUAUCAGCAGCAGACAGAUUUAUCAGAUGGGUGCUGAAAUUCUGCAGAAAUGGGAAAUGGUCUUUUACAUUCUGAAAUACAGUAGUGACAGGGUUAGUCCACCAAAACUGUUUAGCACCAAAAUAGGCAGCAAAGGCUACUGAACCUCAGAACAACAAAGCACUGCCAUUAACUACAGUUCUGCCAGUUUCUAACAGCAUUCCACUUGAAAACUGAACAGAGAAGCAAAACCACUCAGGAUUUUAUAUUUCAGCAGCCUUUCUCAUAGAAUCAAUAUCAAAUUAAGUAACCGCAAAUAAUACUACAGCUAUUGGUUUCUCACAUAGCAAUA